rnacentral:rRNA from 1 species
GAUGAACGCUGACAGAAUGCUUAACACAUGCAAGUCUUUGGCGAAGCUGUGCUUGCACAGCCUAGCCAAGGCGGACGGGUGAGUAACGCGUAAGGAACUUGCCCUGCAGUCAGGGAUAACAGACGGAAACGACUGAUAAGACCUGGUAAAGUCAGGCGGACUCAUGUCCAGCCUGAUGAAAAGAGAUGCUGCAGGAGAGCCUUGCGUCCUAUUAGCUUGUAGGUGGGGUAACGGCCCACCAAGGCGAUGAUAGGUAGCCGGCCUGAGAGGGUGGACGGCCACAAGGGGACUGAGAUACGGCCCUUACUCCUACGGGAGGCAGCAGUGGGGAAUAUUGGACAAUGGGGGCAACCCUGAUCCAGCAAUUCUGUGUGCACGAUGAAGGUUUUCGGAUUGUAAAGUGCUUUCAGCAGGGAAGAAAAAAAUGACGGUACCUGCAGAAGAAGCGACGGCUAAAUACGUG